rnacentral:ncRNA from 2 species
UAUUCUCCCAAGGGGAGCUCCAUACUGCGGGGCUGAGAGGAGGGAGGCAAUCCCUCGACCCUACGAACCUGAUCCGGGUAAUACCGGCGGAGGGAUUGGGAGUGGUAAUUAUU